AUGUGAUGCUUGGACUUCCAGAUGCACCGAGUCGUACGUGACCAUAACAGCUCAUCACAUUACGGGCGAGUGGAAGUUAGUCUCACACGUGCUGCAAACGCGAGCCAUAUAUGACAGCCACACUGGCGAAAACAUUGCAGGUUUGCUCCGUGGUGCUCUUGAUGAAUGGGGCUUGACUGCUAAAGAUCCCGUUGUCGUCACAGAUAAUGCUGCCAAUAUGGCUGUGGCUGCUAGACUUGCACAGGUUAGCCACAUUCAGUGUUUUGCUCACAGCCUAAACCUAGCCUCACAGAAAGCACUUAAACUACCAUCAGUGGCCAGACUGCUUGGAAGAAUUAGGCGUGUCACUGGCUUUUUUAGGCGCAGUGCAAUAGCCAGUCACCAGCUAAAUCUCAAACAGGACCAACUCCAGCUACCAAAGCACAGGCUGAUUACAGAUGUCGUUACACGCUGGAAUAGCUCCUAUGACAUGACUGAGAGGUUUUUAGAACAGCAACCAGCAAUAUGUGCAGCACUUCUUUCCAAUGAGGUCAGGAAAAAUGAAAAGGAUAUCUUCACAUUGACUGAGUCAGACAUCACAUGUGCAGAAGAGGUCCUGAAAGCUCUGAAGCCUAUGAAAGAUGCCACAUUAGUGAUGUCAGAGGAGAGCAUGCCAACACUGUCACUGAUUGCACCACUUCAUGCCAAGCUCAUCAUGGGCACUGAACGAAGUCCUGAUGAUUCAGAUACAGUCAAGGAUAUUAAGGAAGCAAUAGCACAAGAUCUAAAAAAAAAGAUAUGCAAAUGAAAAGGAGACCCUGUACAUGGCAUCAGCUGUUGACCCUCGGUUCAAGAAUCUACCCUUCCUCCCUGCUGAUGAGGCUGAUGACAUCUACGCACGACUGACUGAAGCUGUGGAGGUUGAGAUACAAAAGCUAACUACUACUUCUACUAUGGUAGCAGCAAGAAGAAGAGGAGGACAAAGAAGACAAUCAACCAGCAACUAACAUCCAGCCACCCAUGAAGAAACCCAGAGCAUCAUGUGCAUUGGCUGAGCUGCUUGGACAAACUUUUUCCUUUGACAAACACCAUCGAGCACAAAAAUCUGCACAUGAUGUUGCAGCAACUGAAGUUAGAAUGUUUAGAGAUGAAACCCCCUUGCCUCUCAGUGAUGACCCUCUUGACUGGUGGAGGAAGCACAUUGCAGAGUAUCCUCACAUAGGUAGAGUAGCAAAGUGUUUCCUCUGCAUCCCUGGUACAAGUGUCUCUGCAGAACGAGUUUUCUCCACUGCAGGAGACAUUGUGUCUGCACAAAGAAGUGUCCUUAAAGCUGGGCAUGUAGAUCAGCUUGUGUUCCUCAACAAGAAUCUUAAGAUGAAGAAAAAAUAAGCUCAGUAGCUCACAUGUUCCAUCCUUUUAGUCAUAGUAGUCAUGUCAUAGGAGCUAUUCCAGGCGUUGGCGUUUGUUAUACUGCAAACAUGUUUUGCUGACGUUGCACUUUUAACAGUGUAGGGUUUUAUAAUAGUUGUCUAACUUGUCUUACUACGUCUACUACAGAUGUACAUAUUCUGCAGAAACACUUGUACCAUGGAUGCAGACAAAACACUUUGUAGUGUACUCUACCUUUUUGAGGAGGAUACUCUACUAUUCCAGGCGUUGGCCUUUGUUUUAUACUGCACAGAUGUUUUGCUGUGCCUGUUGC